CUCGAAACGAACAAAACCGAACGGUUUUCCUUUGACGUCCCUCUUCCUUGGUCGAAAAAUAUCAAUGACUUUUCCAAUCUCUGAGAAUUUUCUUUGAAGCGUUUCCAGCCAGGUUCCUUCCGGGAAGUUAUUGAAGAAGAAGGUGACUCCUUCUUCAGCCUGAAACUUUCCUUUCCGACCACCAUCUGCCAAGAAUUUGGAGUUUGUCCUAGGGUUUGGAAAGAAUAUUUGCCUCACCGGAAAACACUCGGAACGGGUUCGGCCUACCCCUCUCCUCCUAACCUCUUUCCACUCGCCGUUCUCCAUCCUUCCGUCCGAUUUCAAACCCGGUGUUCUCGACCAAGAUGCCGUAUGGUAUAUGAGAAUAACUAAAACAAGAUUACAAUAAUCCUAAAUAGUAAUUAGACUGUAAUUAUGUGCACAAUAAAGCCUUUGGAAUAUGAACUCUUUCUUUCCAUAGGAUGUUCCACACCAAUCCCCUCUCUGGCGUUUCAUCAAACAUUACAUGUCCAUUCGGUUAGAAGAGGCAUUUUAACAAACAGUCUCUGCUCAUACUGAUUUUUAUCCCAUAACGAGGUAUAGUUUUGAAUCGGCAUGUUUUUGUUUCCUGUUUGAUUUUGAGAGUCGAUAAUGUUAUUAAUUAAUUGACACUGUGUCUUUUCUUUUCAUUCUUUUAAAAGGCGUUUGCCCGUUCUGAAGUGUAUAGGUCUGAGGUUUCUGUGUUUCUUAUUCUCUCAGGAAUUGGACGUGACAAAAAUGUGGAAAAUAAUUUCUUAUUCUUUUCCAUGUUCUAUAUAUAAACUAUGAGUGGAUAUAAUUUCUAGGAUUGGAUGGAAAAAAAACGAGAGCCUACUUCCUUCUUUCUCACUCCAAUUAAUUCAUGAUAAUAUUUUCAUGAGGUAUUAAUUUGGUAGCAUUUAUUUAUAUUUUUGUCAUCCUAUCUACAAUAUGGGAUAAAAUAAGUAAGGCCACUAAAAUGAAUAAAAAUUUCCCAUAUUUUCUUAUAUUUCAUCUUCUUAUAAUAAAUUUCAACCAAAGAGAUACACUUCAUUUCAGUCUUAUAUUGCUAGUAAAUAAUAUCCAACGUGUGUAUGAAUGACACUACAAUAGAAAAUAUAAUAUUUUGAUUCAUAACAUAUAUAGCAUGUGGCGUAUGUUUCGAAUGACAUCAUAAAUGUAAUACAUAUACAACAUCUUACAAUAAUACAUCACGAAAACGUAAAAUUUUGACAUAAGAAACAUUACAUUUGAUUUAUAGCGAUACAAGUGAUUAGACUUAAUCAUUAGUCCUUAUUCAUAGUAAAAGAUUACUCAAAUGUGCUUCUUACGUCCCAAGGUGGAGCUGAAAGACCACGAGAUGAGGUCUGAACGGCGGAUAAUCCUCCGGUGGCGGCGGAGAUUCCGACUUGAACCUGCUGAGGGAGAAAGCUACUCAGAUCGUAUACAUAGCUCACCUCAAAAUCAUUUCCACCGGCACUGCCGUG
rnacentral:lncRNA from 1 species